AAACAAUCAGCAAUGGGAGGAUACUCUGCAAACUCAGGGGAUCUUGCAGAAGAAGGGAGGGGUGCAUCGAGCGUGCGACCAUGCAGUAUGUUUCCUGUUAAUUCAAAAGAUUUUCCGAGAAAGACAACACCACUUUCAACAGGCUGCACAGGGUCUGAGUUCGGCGUUGAGGAGGGCGUGGCCGAGGAGGACAGCUCUUUAGCGCCGAGUGACAAGAGAUGCUUCAGGAAGCCAGCAGCGCACCGGGGGCAGAGCCAAGUGUGCUGA
rnacentral:lncRNA from 1 species